rnacentral:rRNA from 1 species
CAGGGUUUGACAUGUUCCUGCACCAUCUUGAAAGAGAUGUCCUCGCAAGAGGCGGGAGCACAGGUGCUGCAUGGCUGUCGUCAGCUUGUGUCGUGAGAUGUUGGGUUAAGUCCCGCAACGAGCGCAACCCCUGUCGUCGGUUAUAGGUGUCCGACGAGACUGCCGCGAUCAACGCGGAGGAAGGCGGGGAUGACGUCAAGUCAGCACGGCCCUUACAUCCUGGGCGACACACACGCUACAAUGGUCGGUACAACGGGUUGCCAACCCGCGAGGGGGAGCUAAUCCCAGCAAAACCGGUCUCAGUUCAGAUUGGAGGCUGCAACUCGCCUCCAUGAAGUUGGAGUUGCUAGUAAUCGUGGGUCAGCACACCACGGUGAAUACGUUCCC